GAUUAAGCCAUGCAUGUCUAAGUGCAUGCCGCAUUAAGGCGAAACCGCGAAUGGCUCAUUAAAUCAGUUAUGGUUCCUUAGAUCGUACCUCACCACUUGGAUAACUGUGGCAAUUCUAGAGCUAAUACAUGCAGCAGAGCUCCGACCCUCCGGGGGACGAGCGCUUUUAUUAGACCAAGACCAAUCGGGCCCUCCCGGGCCCGCCCGUCGUGGCGACUCUGUAUAACUUUGGGCCGAUCGCACGGGCUCGUCCCGGCGACGCAUCUUUCAAGUGUCUGCCUUAUCAACUGUCGACGGUAGGUUAUGCGCCUACCGUGGUCGUAACGGGUGACGGGGAAUCAGGGUUCGAUUCCGGAGAGGGAGCCUGAGAAACGGCUACCACAUCCAAGGAAGGCAGCAGGCGCGCAAAUUACCCACUCCCGGCACGGGGAGGUAGUGACGAAAAAUAACGAUACGGGACUCAUUCGAGACCCCGUAAUCGGAAUGAGUACACUCCAAAUCCUUUAACGAGGACCCACUGGAGGGCAAGUCUAGUGCCAGCAGCCGCGGUAACUCUAGCUCCAGUAGCGUAUAUUAAAGUUGUUGCGGUUAAAAAGCUCGUAGUUGGAUCUCAGUCCCAGACGGGCGGUCCGCCUAACGGCGGCCGCCGCCCGGCCUGGACAGCCGGCCGGUUUCCCCCGAUGAUCUUCGCUGAUUGUCCCGGGUGACCGGCACGUUUACUUUGAAAAAAUUAGAGUGCUCAGAGCAGGCGCGACGCCUGGAUAAUGGUGCAUGGAAUAAUGGAAUAGGGCCUCGCUUCUAUUUUGUUGGUUUUCGGAACCCGAGGCAAUGAUUAAGAGGGACGGACGGGGGCAUCCGUACUGCGACGCUAGAGGUGAAAUUCUUGGACCGUCGCAAGACGAACUACUGCGAAGGCAUUUGCCAAGCACGUUCCCGUUAAUCAAGAACGACAGUCAGAGGCGCGAAGGCGAUCAGAUACCGCCCUAGUUCUGACCAUAAACGAUGCCAGCCGGCGAUCCGCCUGGGUUCCUCAAAUGACUCGGCGGGCAGCUUCCGGGAAACCAAAGCUUCUGGGUUCCGGGGGAAGUAUGGUUGCAAAGCUGAAACUUAAAGGAAUUGGCGGAAGGGCACCACCAGGAGUGGAGCUUGCGGCUUAAUUUGACUCAACACGGGGAAACCUACCCGGCCCGGACACCGGAAGGAUUGACAGAUUGAGAGCUCUUUCUUGAUUCGGUGGAAGGUGGUGCAUGGCCGUUCUUAGUUGGUGGAGCGAUUUGUCUGGUCAAUUCCGAUAACGAGCGAGAUUCCAGCCUGCUAAAUAGGCGCCCCGGUCCCGCGAAGCCGGGCGCUCUUCUUAGAGGGACGGGCGGCGUCCAGCCGCACGAGACGGAGCAAUAACAGGUCUGUAAUGCCCUCAGAUGUCCGGGGCCGCACGCGUGCUACACUGAAGGAACCAGCGUGUGCUGACCCUGUCCGUCAGGACUGGGUAACCCGUUGAACCUUCUUCGUGAUAGGGACCGUCGCCUGCAAGGCGACGCGAACGAGGAAUUCCUAGUAGGCGCGAGUCAUCAACUCGCGUCGAUUACGUCCCUGCCCUUUGCACACACCGCCCGUCGUUACUCCCGAUUGAAUGGUCCAGUGAGGGCCUCGGACUGGCGCGCGGAGCGGCUCUCCGCCGCGCCGCCGUGCCGGAAAGACGCCCGAACUGUAUCAUUUAGAGGAAGUAAAAGUCG
rnacentral:rRNA from 1 species